UGUAAAAUGCGGUUUGGUCGAGGACGCACGCACGCAAGGUGUUCGACGAAAAUCCUCAGUCACGUCAGCUUGGUUUUUGUUACAACGAUUUGAUAUCUAUCUGGGUACAUGAAAGUCUCUGAUGUGAAGGAAGCUGGUGUGUAUGUGUUUGCUGUCACCGAGUGUUUGUCAUAAUCCUGUUACAUUGGUUAGUGUUCUGUCUUCUAGUGCCCAUCUUGGAGCUCAGAAGAUUAGUCAAGAAUUAGAGAAUCUAGUAAAAUCCCAUUGUAUUCUAGUUGAACCCUAUGGUGCUGUUUGGGGAGCUAUAUAUAUAUAUAUAUUGGGUGUAUGUUAAUAUCCUUAAGAAUGUGGAUAUGGCAGAGUUAGCUUUUGCAAAGGUGAUUGAGUUUGAACCCAUGAACAUUGGCUACUAGUAUGUAUUGAUGUCAAAUAUAUAUUCAGACUCGAAAAAUCAACAAGGAAUCUUGAUAAUCCGGGUAAUGAUGAGGAAUUCAGAAAAGAGCAUGGGUUUAGUUGUGUGGAACACAAGGGAAUAGUUCACUAAUUUUUUUAGCUGGCGAGUUUAUAAAAUGCUUACAAAAUCCUAAAGAAGUUUGCCUUCAGAAAUAAGUCCAUCUUUUAUGAUGUCCCUGCUAUACUAACCUCCAUUCAGUCAUUGUUCUGUCAUCCUAAUCCGAAUUAUCCUGUAAAAUUCGGAAGCUGCAAAGCAAGCGCGAGUACAACAGAAGAGUCCGCGAUGUUGUCGACCAUAGCUGGACUCUGGACUGCAGACUAGUAAUAAUAUUAUUGUUGUAUCAUUAGUCUUUAAAAAGACAUUAAGCAUCCUCUCUUGUGUUUCACCCACUCUUCUGUGUGUUUUUCGAGCUCUGUGAUUUGUUGCUUUUGAUGUUUCUCUGUAUUUUCGUAACCACAUUCAUCUUCAUAAUUAUCAUAUGCAUUUCAACU